rnacentral:rRNA from 1 species
UGGGGAAUUUUGGGAUCAAUGGGCGCAAGCCUGAUCCAGCCAUGCCGCGUGCGGGAAGAAGGCCUUCGGGUUGUAAACCGCUUUUGUCAGGGAAGAAAUCUUCUGAGUUAAUACCUCGGGGAGGAUGACGGUACCUGAAGAAUAAGCACCGGCUAACUACGUGCCAGCAGCCGCGGUAAUACGUAGGGUGCAAGCGUUAAUCGGAAUUACUGGGCGUAAAGCGUGCGCAAGGCGGUUUUGUAAGACAGAGGUGAAAUCCCCGGGCUCAACCUGGGAACUGCCUUUGUGACUGCAAGGCUUGAGUGCGGCAGAGGGGGAUGGAAUUCCGCGUGUAGCAGUGAAAUGCGUAGAUAUGCGGAGGAACACCGAUGGCGAAGGCAAUCCCCUGGGCCUGCACUGACGCUCAUGCACGAAAGCGUGGGGAGCAAACAGGAUUAGAUA